UAAUAAUAAUAAUAACAAUUAGAAAAAGAAAAUGCAUUCCACUACGCAGAUAUAACUGAAUGUUUUUUUUUUCUCCCUUUCAGCAUACUUAACUCUAUUUUCUCUCUUUCUCUCACUCACUCACUCACUCUCUCUCUCUCUCUCUCUUCUUCCCUUUCUUUCUCCAUUUUUUUUUCAACCUUUCUUCUUACUCUCUCAUUCUACUUUGUACACAUUGCAUAAAUAAGUAAGAGCAGCAAGUUGUCUAACGUCUACAACUUGAUAAAAAAAAAACCUACGCGUAAAAAUAUUUACAAUAUUUAUAUAUAUAUAUAUAUAUAUAUAUGUGCGUGUGUGUGUGUGUGUGUGAACCACUUGUAUUGUUACAGCAAAUCGAUUGCGACGGUUUAAAAGUUCCCAGAUCUUUUGCGAAAUGGUGAGGCGGAGCAACUUCGAGAACGUGCAUCUCGCGAUCAGUAUCGGCCGUAAACGAUGGAAAAAUGGCAGUUGCCCGCGACAACGCGCAGUAAGUAACGAACGAAGAUGGAGACGGAAGAGAAACGCAAGAGCACACGUCUGAACGUCCAG